UGGAACUCUCCGGUUCCCGUACGAUCGGCGAAGUUAAGCAACGACGAGUCUGGUCAGUGCCAAGAUGGUCGACUGUUUGGGAAUACCAGGUGCUGUAAA